rnacentral:rRNA from 1 species
GACGAACGCUGGCGGCGUGCCUAAUACAUGCAAGUCGAGCGGACUUAAAAAGCUUGCUUUUUAAGUUAGCGGCGGACGGGUGAGUAACACGUGGGCAACCUGCCUGUAAGACUGGGAUAACUUCGGGAAACCGGAGCUAAUACCGGAUAAUCCUUUUCUACUCAUGUAGAAAAGCUGAAAGACGGUUUACGCUGUCACUUACAGAUGGGCCCGCGGCGCAUUAGCUAGUUGGUGAGGUAACGGCUCACCAAGGCGACGAUGCGUAGCCGACCUGAGAUGGUGAUCGGCCACACUGGGACUGAGACACGGCCCAGACUCCUACGGGAGGCAGCAGUAGGGAAUCUUCCGCAAUGGACGAAAGUCUGACGGAGCAACGCCGCGUGAGUGAUGAAGGUUUUCGGAUCGUAAAACUCUGUUGUUAGGGAAGAACAAGUACGAGAGUAACUGCUCGUACCUUGACGGUACCUAACCAGAAAGCCACGGCUAACUACGUG